AUUGAACGCUGGCGGCAGGCCUAACACAUGCAAGUCGAACGGUAACAGGAAGAAGCUUGCUUCUUUGCUGACGAGUGGCGGACGGGUGAGUAAUGUCUGGGAAACUGCCUGAUGGAGGGGGAUAACUACUGGAAACGGUAGCUAAUACCGCAUAACGUCGCAAGACCAAAGAGGGGGACCUUCGGGCCUCUUGCCAUCGGAUGUGCCCAGAUGGGAUUAGCUAGUAGGUGGGGUAACGGCUCACCUAGGCGACGAUCCCUAGCUGGUCUGAGAGGAUGACCAGCCACACUGGAACUGAGACACGGUCCAGACUCCUACGGGAGGCAGCAGUGGGGAAUAUUGCACAAUGGGCGCAAGCCUGAUGCAGCCAUGCCGCGUGUAUGAAGAAGGCCUUCGGGUUGUAAAGUACUUUCAGCGGGGAGGAAGGGAGUAAAGUUAAUACCUUUGCUCAUUGACGUUACCCGCAGAAUAAGCACCGGCUAACUCCGUG
rnacentral:rRNA from 1 species